rnacentral:lncRNA from 1 species
CAGCAAUAGGAGUCUUGUGCCACAAACUUCUCGUUGAUCAGAUACAUAGAGUUGUAUGAGAAAUCUGAUGUUAUCAAGGAAGAUUGUUUAACACUCAAACAGUUCAUCUAUAGGACCAGCCUUAUGCACACAGAGGUAAGACACUGUUCCUGUACUCAGGAUCAACAGGCUGAAAACAGAAAUUUUAAGGGAGGAAUUCU